GGCACCAUAGUUGAUUAACAACAUUAAAUUGCAGAUUUAGAAGAGUACCAUGAUACUGAUGCCU
rnacentral:tRNA from 1 species